GUGUUGUAUGAAAAGAGAGAAUGUUAGAACUCCCUUUGAUAAGGAUAGAAGAGGUCCUAGUGGCCUUUACAACACACAUACGGUUAAGACAUUGCCACCUACUCUGUGGCAUCUAACCAUGCUUUUUU
ensembl:snRNA